AAGAAGAGGAAAAGAGGGAAGGUUGUGAGGUCGGGAUGUCCGGCCCACCUUUACAUCACCCACACGGAUGCGUGGUGGAGAGUCAAAUGCUUCAACGACGACCACAACCACCCUCUAAUAAGAAAGCCGUCCUUGACAAAGUUCCUAUCAUCACAUAGGAACAUUCCAAAAGAUGAGCAGGACUUCUUGAAGAUAUUGCACGGAUGCAACAUAGAGACAGCCAGACAGAUGCAACUAAUGGAAUGGUUCUACGGGAAUCCUAAAGAUGUACCAUACACAACAAAGGACAUCGCAAACCAGCGAGCUAAAUUCCGGAUGGAGUACCGCCAUGCUGAUGUGGGGAGCACAAUCUCGUACUUCCAAGAUAUGAAGGCACAAGAUCCAGAUUUCUAUUGGAGAAUAAAGCUUGAUGAUGAGGACAGAGUGGAAAAUUUAUUCUGGAUAGAUGGUGCGUCGCGCAGGGCAUAUGCUAGAUACAAUGAUGUCAUCUCAUUUGACACAACAUACAUGACAAACAUGUACAAAAUGCCCUAUGCACCCUUCAUUGGCAUUAAUAAUCGGGCAGUCGAUCCAAUUUGGUUGUGGGUUUGUUCGAAACGAACUAUCUGGUAA
rnacentral:rRNA from 1 species